AGAUUGAACGCUGGCGGCAGGCCUAACACAUGCAAGUCGAGCGGUAGAGAGGUGCUUGCAUCUCUUGAGAGCGGCGGACGGGUGAGUAAUGCCUAGGAAUCUGCCUAGUGGUGGGGGAUAACGUUCGGAAACGGACGCUAAUACCGCAUACGUCCUACGGGAGAAAGCGGGGGACCUUCGGGCCCUCGCGCCAUUAGAUGAGCCUAGGUCGAUUAGCUAGUUGGUGAGUAUGGCUCACCAAGGCACGAUCCGUAACUGGCUGAGAGGAUGAUCAGUACACACGUGGAACUGAGACACGGUCCAGGACUCCGUACGGAGGCGAGCGAGGUGGGAAGUAGUUAGGACGAGUGGGACGAAAGGCCUGACUCCAGCCAUGCCGCGUGU
rnacentral:rRNA from 1 species